rnacentral:rRNA from 1 species
GUGGGGAAUAUUGGACAAUGGGCGCAAGCCUGAUCCAGCCAUGCCGCGUGAGUGAUGAAGGCCUUAGGGUUGUAAAGCUCUUUCAGUGGGGACGAUAAUGACGGUACCCACAGAAGAAGCCCCGGCUAACUUCGUGCCAGCAGCCGCGGUAAUACGAAGGGGGCUAGCGUUGUUCGGAUUUACUGGGCGUAAAGCGCACGUAGGCGGAUCGUUAAGUCGGGGGUGAAAUCCUGGAGCUCAACUCCAGAACUGCCUUCGAUACUGGCGAUCUUGAGUCCGGAAGAGGUGCGUGGAACUCCUAGUGUAGAGGUGGAAUUCGUAGAUAUUAGGAAGAACACCAGUGGCGUAGGCGGCUCACUGGUCCGGUACUGACGCUGAGGUGCGAAAGCGUGGGGAGCAAACAGGAUUAGAAACCCCGGUAGUCC